rnacentral:rRNA from 1 species
CCACCGGAGCUUGCUCCACCGGAAAAAGAAGAGUGGCGAACGGGUGAGUAACACGCUGGGUAACCUGCCCAUCAGAAGGGGAUAACACUUGGAAACAGGUGCUAAUACCGUAUAACAAUCGAAACCGCAUGGUUUUGAUUUGAAAGGCGCUUUCGGGUGUCGCUGAUGGAUGGACCCGCGGUGCAUUAGCUAGUUGGUGAGGUAACGGCUCACCAAGGCCACGAUGCAUAGCCGACCUGAGAGGGUGAUCGGCCACAUUGGGACUGAGACACGGCCCAAACUCCUACGGGAGGCAGCAGUAGGGAAUCUUCGGCAAUGGACGAAAGUCUGACCGAGCAACGCCGCGUGAGUGAAGAAGGUUUUCGGAUCGUAAAACUCUGUUGUUAGAGAAGAACAAGGAUGAGAGUAACUGUUCAUCCCUUGACGGUAUCUAACCAGAAAGCCACGGCUAACUACGUGCCAGCAGCCGCGGUAAUACGUAGGUGGCAAGCGUUGUCCGGAUUUAUUGGGCGUAAAGCGAGCGCAGGCGGUUUCUUAAGUCUGAUGUGAAAGCCCCCGGCUCAACCGGGGAGGGUCAUUGGAAACUGGGAGACUUGAGUGCAGAAGAGGAGAGUGGAAUUCCAUGUGUAGCGGUGAAAUGCGUAGAUAUAUGGAGGAACACCAGUGGCGAAGGCGGCUCUCUGGUCUGUAACUGACGCUGAGGCUCGAAAGCGUGGGGAGCAAACAGGAUUAGAUACCCUGGUAGUCCACGCCGUAAACGAUGAGUGCUAAGUGUUGGAGGGUUUCCGCCCUUCAGUGCUGCAGCUAACGCAUUAAGCACUCCGCCUGGGGAGUACGACCGCAAGGUUGAAACUCAAAGGAAUUGACGGGGGCCCGCACAAGCGGUGGAGCAUGUGGUUUAAUUCGAAGCAACGCGAAGAACCUUACCAGGUCUUGACAUCCUUUGACCACUCUAGAGAUAGAGCUUCCCCUUCGGGGGCAAAGUGACAGGUGGUGCAUGGUUGUCGUCAGCUCGUGUCGUGAGAUGUUGGGUUAAGUCCCGCAACGAGCGCAACCCUUAUUGUUAGUUGCCAUCAUUCAGUUGGGCACUCUAGCAAGACUGCCGGUGACAAACCGGAGGAAGGUGGGGAUGACGUCAAAUCAUCAUGCCCCUUAUGACCUGGGCUACACACGUGCUACAAUGGGAAGUACAACGAGUCGCGAAGUCGCGAGGCUAAGCUAAUCUCUUAAAGCUUCUCUCAGUUCGGAUUGUAGGCUGCAACUCGCCUACAUGAAGCCGGAAUCGCUAGUAAUCGCGGAUCAGCACGCCGCGGUGAAUACGUUCCCGGGCCUUGUACACACCGCCCGUCACACCACGAGAGUUUGUAACACCCGAAGUCGGUGAGGUAACCUUU